rnacentral:lncRNA from 1 species
ACUGAGGGUCCUCCCUGCCAGAAAUGUGGCCACCUAGUUAAGUCUGAUGGGGUCAUCACUUCUUGCCUCGAUUGCUUCUUAGAUGGGGGUAGCCUGUACCUGUUUGACUAUGCCGUGUCGCCUGCUUUCUUCCUUGCCAAAGCUCGUGGAGGAACCUGCACCCUGGCUGCCUCUGACCCCAGUGAUGUUGUGAUCCACCGUGCACGAUACCUCCUGGACAAUGGGUUUGGCAUGUACUCCCUGUUCAAGAACAAC